UCCGGGGGACAGCGCGUGUCGCAGGCGCUUGGCAGCACACGGCCUCGGGAGGGGGAACAGACGCCAUGGGGCAAGCUGGGGCACGAGAAUGAAAACACCUUUGAGACAAUAAAGGAGUUGGAAGAGGA